AUUGAACGCUGGCGGCAGGCCUAACACAUGCAAGUCGAGCGGAUGAAGGGAGCUUGCUCCUGGAUUCAGCGGCGGACGGGUGAGUAAUGCCUAGGAAUCUGCCUGGUAGUGGGGGAUAACGUCCGGAAACGGGCGCUAAUACCGCAUACGUCCUGAGGGAGAAAGUGGGGGAUCUUCGGACCUCACGCUAUCAGAUGAGCCUAGGUCGGAUUAGCUAGUUGGUGGGGUAAAGGCCUACCAAGGCGACGAUCCGUAACUGGUCUGAGAGGAUGAUCAGUCACACUGGAACUGAGACACGGUCCAGACUCCUACGGGAGGCAGCAGUGGGGAAUAUUGGACAAUGGGCGAAAGCCUGAUCCAGCCAUGCCGCGUGUGUGAAGAAGGUCUUCGGAUUGCAAAGCACUUUAAGUUGGGAGGAAGGGCAGUAAGUUAAUACCUUGCUGUUUUGACGUUACCAACAGAAUAAGCGCCGGCUAACUUCGUG
rnacentral:rRNA from 1 species